UGCAUCGGCCGAAAAUCGAACCUGGGCCGCCCGCGUGGCAGGCGAGCAUUCUACCACUGAACCACCGAUGG
rnacentral:tRNA from 1 species